rnacentral:tRNA from 1 species
AGGAUAAUAGUUAAAUUAACAUUAAAUUUGCAAUUUAAAAAUACUGAUCUCAGUUUAUCUUA